GGGAGGUAGUGACAAUAAAUAACAAUACGGGGCUCUUUAGGGUCUCGUAAUUGGAAUGAGUACAAUUUAAAUCCCUUAACGAGGAACAAUUGGAGGGCAAGUCUGGUGCCAGCAGCCGCGGUAAUUCCAGCUCCAAUAGCGUAUAUUAAAGUUGUUGCAGUUAAAAAGCUCGUAGUUGAAUUUCGGGAUUGACAUGUUGGACGUGCCUUAAGAGGUAUGAACUGGCAUUGUCGAUUUCUCACCUUCUGGAGAAUCACGAUGCUCUUAAUUGGGUGUCGUGUGGAUCCAGGACCUUUACCUUGAAAAAUUAGAGUGUUUAAAGCAGGCAUUUUGCUCGAAUACAUUAGCAUGGAAUAAUAAAAUAGGACGGCUUGGUUCUAUUUUGUUGGUUUCUAGGAUCACCGUAAUGAUUAAUAGGGAUAGUUGGG
rnacentral:rRNA from 1 species